AUUGAACGCUGGCGGCAUGCCUUACACAUGCAAGUCGAACGGCAGCACGGGAGCAAUCCUGGUGGCGAGUGGCGAACGGGUGAGUAAUAUAUCGGAACGUGCCCGGUCGUGGGGGAUAACGUAGCGAAAGCUACGCUAAUACCGCAUACGAUCUACGGAUGAAAGCGGGGGAUCGCAAGACCUCGCGCGAUUGGAGCGGCCGAUAUCAGAUUAGGUAGUUGGUGAGGUAAAGGCUCACCAAGCCGACGAUCUGUAGCUGGUCUGAGAGGACGACCAGCCACACUGGGACUGAGACACGGCCCAGACUCCUACGGGAGGCAGCAGUGGGGAAUUUUGGACAAUGGGCGCAAGCCUGAUCCAGCAAUGCCGCGUGCAGGAUGAAGGCCUCGGUGUAAC
rnacentral:rRNA from 1 species